GAUGAACGCUAGCGGCAGGCCUAACACAUGCAAGUCGAGGGAGGAGCCUUCGGGCUUCGACCGGCGUACGGGUGCGUAACGCGUAUACAAUCUGCCCUUCACAUAGGGAUAGCCCGAAGAAAUUUGGAUUAAUACCUAAUGGUAUAUAGAUGUGGCAUCACCUUUAUAUUAAAGCUGAGGCGGUGAAAGAUGAGUAUGCGUUCUAUUAGCUAGUUGGAGAGGUAACGGCUCCCCAAGGCGACGAUAGAUAGGGGUUCUGAGAGGGAUAUCCCCCACACUGGUACUGAGAUACGGACCAGACUCCUACGGGAGGCAGCAGUGAGGAAUAUUGGACAAUGGUCGGAGGACUGAUCCAGCCAUGCCGCGUGCAGGAAGACGGCCUUAUGGGUUGUAAACUGCUUUUGCAGGGGAAGAAUAAGGACUACGCGUAGUUUGAUGACGGUACUCUGCGAAUAAGCAUCGGCUAACUCCGUG
rnacentral:rRNA from 1 species